rnacentral:rRNA from 1 species
GAUCAUGGCUCAGGAUGAACGCUAGCGACAGGCCUAACACAUGCAAGUCGAGGGGCAGCGAAGAGGUAGCAAUACCUUCGUCGGCGACCGGCGCACGGGUGAGUAACACGUAUGCAAUCCACCUGUAACAGGGGGAUAACCCGGAGAAAUCCGGACUAAUACUCCAUAAUAUGGGCGCUCCGCAUGGAGAGCCCAUUAAAGAGAGCAAUUUUGGUUACAGACGAGCAUGCGCU